UCCGAGUAGAAUUUAUUUCUCCGGUUCAUCUUCAUUUCCGGAUUCAAGUCCAGAUCAAGAAACUCUUAUUAAGAGAGAACAAGACUUCCUGUACACACAUACUAAGGUUUUUGUUGGCUAAUUCAUCGGAGGGGGAGAGAUGAAGAAAAACAUAAAUGUUGAAUACAUUCUGAAACUUAUGUAGUUAAUUAAUAUAUAUUUAGUAUUUAUACUAAUUUAACA